rnacentral:lncRNA from 1 species
GGUAGCAAAAGAAGGAGCAGCAGUGGAAAUCACAGUAGUUGUAGCAAAAUCAUUGGCACGCUAGGCCCCUUCUCUAAGAGAAAAUAGGGUUGGCAGGCUACUUGAAUGGACAUCUGAGAUGGCAUCAAGCCGAGCACAAAACAGAUCUGGGCUGCUAGUAAGGAGGGCAGUGAAGCCUUCUAGCAUAAGUGAUGCCUUCCCAAGGUCUGGUCUCUUCGGGACCUAAUGAGAUGCCUUAAACUCGAGGGUUGGAUAAGCAAACCUGGCCAAAGAAUCACUAUUUCGAUUGAAGCUCUGCCGCGGUGACCCAAUUCUCAUAUACAGAUAAGCGAGAAUGCCCUUUCUGACACGGCUGCGUCCUCACGAAUGCCAAACUUCGUAGCUCAGCUCAUCUGGGAUGACCAAGCUCCAGGGAGGUUUUCUUGAUGACAUGGCGGGCUCCAAGCUACACCCUUCUCUGCUACCAAAUCAUAGAUCUUCCAGAGAAGACCAAAGCGAAUGAGCUCACUCUGCCAAGCCACAAUUCUAAUGGAUAGUCAUUGUGACCCCGACCCGAGGCUUGGUGUACAUAGCAAGAACCCGCUCAAAGUGACGAGAUCUUGUAUGACUUUGGCAAGGACCCCCUCCACCACCUAUCCUUACUAAGGUAGAGAACCUUCGUAAUGAAUGGAAAUUUUUUACAUAUAGCCAUCAGACCAUAUGGAUGAUGGUAAGCAAGCAAACAACGAGCAGACAUGGCAGAUAAAUCAACCCUUGACGCAAAAGCGCUUAGCAAACUCAAAUGCACCACAGUGUAAGAAAUCAGAGAUUUUUUAGUUUUGAACUCCUAAUUUCUGAAGACACUGAAAAUAAACUUCAGCAACUUGCGCAUCCGCGAUGACAACAUCAUUACCGAGCACAUGGAUUGGGACACAUCAACUAAAGUGGCUUUUGAACGAGACCUACCGGCUUAGGGGCUGUUUCUACUAAAAUGGGUGUACCCGGGUUCCGAUCUCUAAAUGGAUCUGCUAUAGCUACUCGAUCUCGAUCAAAUGGCUUUGGAUCUGUCUCUACAUCUGGAAUAUCUGUAACAGGAUAUGGAACUCAAUAUCGAUCUGAAACUGGAAGGGGUGCUCCAUAGCUUCAACUGAUACUGCUUAUAGCCAACAUCGGCUAUGGAUCACGCCCAUCAUCAUAAGGGCUUCUCGAAGACUUAAUCUCGCUCUACCUCCAUUCUCGGAGAGGGGAGUCUUACCCGCGGAUACUCUUAUUCGAGAGAUGGAAUUGGGAAUCUGUUUCGAGACUUCGUCAUUGAGAGCUACUAACUGCCAUUAUUCCGAGGCUUAUGGAGACCCUCCUAAGCUUAAAGGCUGAGCUUAUGAGGGGGGACCAAAAUUGCUCAGCCUUUAAGGAGAUCAUGGCACUUUUAAAGGGGGAAACCCCAAAGACCUAGACAGCAAAAUGGAAAGGAAUGGUUAACUUUGUCACAUGAAUUGACUUUUUUUUUCGGUAUGCCGCUCCGCCAGCAAGGAGUGCCACGCACGAGCGGAGCGAAAACUAAGCAGGGGGAAUUAUUCGUUGGGAGAAAUCCUUUGAUUGCGUAUUGAAUAUAGAUCCAUGUCUUUCUUGUUCCACUAGCUAGGACAAAAUUCU